GAGAUUCGGAAGAGAACUCAAAAACAACAAAAGGUUGCCUUCUGUCCAGCCUUAGUAUGAGGCUUAUUGUGUGCACUGUUACGAAAUGUGGAGAUGGUUUUGCUCAGACAAACUUUAUUACCAGCACCAAUGAGGGGAACUGAGAAUUCUGAGACACUGCAGUUGACAUCACAGAACUCUAGCUGCUCUGUGUACUGUAUCCUUUUCCACCUUUGUCCUUAAAAGCUAUUGGAACCCUUAUAAAAAAUGCAGCUGUGUAUUUAGAGAGCAACCCUUACUUUGAAUGGUUCUUUUACCUGAUAAGGCAUCUGGAUAUUUAUUCCUCCAACCCAACUCCAAUCGCCCCCUUUUGUGUUUGCCCAGGUAGAGGAAAAUCUCCAGUCCACUCCCAUCUGUUUGCCUCAUCCAGGCCAUGGAAGGAUCACUACUACAAUAAAAUUCCUGAGACUGCCAAGACCCAGGAACCUUGGGUGCUGAUGGGUUCUCUUGGAUGAGGAGAAAACAACAGGACCACCGGAUUAGGGUUUGUUAUAGCCCAACUCUCCCUGCUUCUUGCUUCUUACUAAAUAAUGGAUCAAUGACCGCCUGGCAGAAUUAGCCUUUCAAUUGACUUUUGUCUUUUGCCCAUCAUUUCCAAAGCUCAUCUCCCAAGGGGAAGACUGAAAGGAGUCCACACUGAGGGAACAGACAUCCUCUUGUGGCUUGAGCUUGCUUUAUUUUACUGCUCAGGGAAGGACAACAGGAACCCCUGUGCACUUUGCUUGGUUAUGACAAAAUUUCCAUUCUUUUAGCCUUUGUUUUGUCCCAUGGUAGCCUAUAUAUCUAUCCAUAGAGCAUACAUGUAUAAACCCCUUUUUACUGUUAUUGGCCUAAAAAGUCUUACCAUGAAGAGCCAUCGGCUUAUAUUUGCAUACUCCAUUGACUCCAAUAAUGUCUUCCACAUUAUUGUUUUAUAAUUAAUUUCAUAAUUAAUAAGGUUGCAAUUUAAAAAUUCUUAGUACAGGAAGAGGUUUAGAGAUGAAACUGUUCAAAACAGUACCGUAUAUAUAUUUAGCUUCACCAGAGCAAAGAGGAAAGUGUUUCUUUCAGCUUGUGUCAGUGUCCUAUGGCAGGAGCAGAAUGUAAGUGAUCACUAAGUGCUUUUGCUCACUGCCACUUAGAAACUGGUUAUAUUGUUGUGUAGAGAUGCAUCUCAGUUCCAAGCAAGAGGCUGUGUAGGUUCCCUCUAUAAUCUUACAUCAGUGUGUGAUUCAGAGUUAGAAACAUAAUCGUUCUAAAGGCAAAUUUAUGCAUCUGAAGCAACCUCAUGUUAUAUCCAUUUGCUGAUUCAUGCUAGAGAUGGAGUCUCAUUAAUAAGGACUGUUUAGCCAAGGCCUUAUCAAAAUAUAUGCCAAACAACUUUAAGACAGGACCUCAGGUAGCCCAGGCUUUUCUGGAGCCCACUCUGUGGCCAAUCAAGAUCUCCUAAUCUUCCUGUCUCAGCUCCCAAAUGCUGACACUUUAGAUAUGCAACACCAUGCCCAGGUUGAAAAACAAAAUCUUAUUAAAUAAAUUUCUUAUGUCAAAAUCUC